rnacentral:rRNA from 1 species
GACCUGGCUGGGCGGUCUUGCCGAAAGGUAAGCACUGCUCUGGUCGGGUCUUUCCUUCUGGGGAACCAGUGUGCUCUUAAUUGGGUGCGCUGGGGAUCCAGGACUUUUACUUUGAAAAAAUUAGAGUGUUCAAAGCAGGCAUUUGCUCGAAUACAUUAGCAUGGAAUAAUAGAAUAGGAC